GUAAGGAAUAUUGGUCAAUGGGCGCAAGCCUGAACCAGCCAUGCCGCGUGCAGGAAGACGGCCCUACGGGUUGUAAACUGCUUUUGCAGGGGAAUAAACCCCAGGUCGUGACCUGGGUUGAAUGUACUCUGAGAAUAAGGAUCGGCUAACUCCGUGCCAGCAGCCGCGGUAAUACGGAGGAUCCAAGCGUUAUCCGGAUUUAUUGGGUUUAAAGGGUGCGUAGGCGGCCUAUUAAGUCAGGGGUGAAAGACGGUAGCUUAACUAUCGCAGUGCCUUUGAUACUGAUGGGCUUGAAUGAACUAGAGGUAGGCGGAAUGUGACAAGUAGCGGUGAAAUGCAUAGAUAUGUCACAGAACACCAAUUGCGAAGGCAGCUUACUAUGGUUUAAUUGACGCUGAGGCACGAAAGCGUGGGGAUCAAACAGG
rnacentral:rRNA from 1 species